rnacentral:lncRNA from 1 species
AAACUGGCUUUGGCACCUCCAGAGAAUGAACUGUUUCAUAGCCUAGCUGACCAUCCAUGAAAAUGGCUGCCUGGAGAGGCAGUGAUCAGCCCAUCCCUGCAGGGUGAAGAUAAGCUUGUGCAGGCCACUGGCUAACACAGUUCAUCCCAUGCCUCCUACAUACCAAGCACUGUGCCAGGCACUUUUCACGUCUGGCAUCCUCAGAAUCCUCCAAAAGGAGAGGUUCGUGGAGGAUAAUGCUGUCAGGCUUGGAAGCAGCAGUAGAGAUCACGUUGCCCAGCUCUUGGCAUCAUUGGUUCCCAAAGCUCUGAAUCCCCUGGAGAGCUUUUGUAAAAGGUCGGAUUCAGACAAUCCGGUGGAGCACUCUGAAAUUUAGAGGAAGUGGUCAAAUAGAAUUUUCUGGAAUUAUGGAAAUCUUCUAUUCUGUGCAUCUAGUAUAGUAGAAUCUAGUCACAUGUGGCUUUUGAGAACUGGAAAUAUGGCUAAUGCAACAGAGAAAGUGAAUUUUUACUUUUGAUUCAUUUAAAUAUAAAUGGUCACAUAUGACAUCACUGCCAUAUUGGACAUUGCAGUUCUGGAAGAUGGCAGAUGCAGCCCUCAGAAGAAUUAUCAGCCUGAAUGUCUGGGCGGAGCAGAGCACUACCUUCCCACUCACUCUUCCCCUCCUCUCGCCCCCUCCCCUGCCUCACUUGCAUCAGAUUAUGAUGUGAGCAAAAGCAGGAAACAGCUCUUUUGAUAGGCCUGUGAGACUUGCUGUUCGUUGGAGUAGCUAGGCUGCUCUGACUCAUACAGACCCAAAUCCUGGCAACCACUUUUAUGAAGAAAUGACAAUUCAGUCUACUACUUGUCCAUUUUACAUGCCCAAGGAAUGUGAGGGGCCUCUGCUUGGAUCUAGUUUUCAACCUAGUCUAUGGCAUUGAUUAUCCUUUUAAAAGACAAAAGAGGUGACUUCACGGGCACUUAACAUCUUGGCCAUACUGACCCCAGUUGCACGCUACGUAGGAAGUUUUAGUCCAUUUAAACUGAAGUUCCAAUUUUUUUUUUAACAACUAUUUAAAAAUUGUACAUGUCCCAUACAUGACAGAGAAAGGGUUGUCUGGUUGGAUGAUUUUUGGCUUGCAAAAAGAGAACACAAAAGAAAAGCAUACGUUUUAAUACUCAAGAGACCAAAUUUUCUGCUGAAGAGGAAAUGAACUACAUAUCCAGAAGGGUCCUACCAAGAGGCCAAACAGACUGUGUUCUCUUGGGGGAGUUCUCAGUGGUGAUGAGAACACCACUUUUUUUUUUUUUUUAGUCAUUUUCAAGGUGAGAUAUUGACUUGCUGCUGGAGCAGGACAACUGGUCUCUCUUUCAUUGCUAGCAGCAGAGUAAGGGUCUUGCAAGUUUCAGGCAGCAGCAGAGAAAGGGUCUUGCAAGUUUCAGUCCAAAGCAAGAAGAGCUAGGAUUGCACCAGCUGUCUCACCUACUCUGUGCUCACCUGUUUCUGGAUGAAGCACGGUGACAUCUGUUUUAUUGUAAAGAGAACCAACUUUGGAAUCAAAUGGAACCUGUAUUAAAAUCCUGAAUCCGUCACUAGCUUGGACAAGUCACUUCACUUCUCUGAACCUUGUUUUAUUCCAGUUAAGAAUAAUAGUAAGCCAGUCCCACAGAGCUGUAGCAAGGUUAAAAUGAAUGGUUGUCUGUAGAAGCAUUUAAAAUAGGGCUUCAUACAGAGCCAGUACCUGGGGAGACUGAGGGUUUGAACCACAUAGUUCCACUCUGGCAAAUCACAGAGGGGCUGUAGGAUGGUCCUUUAAGGGGGAUGUGUUAUGGGUUAAUUGGAACAGUGCUUCUUAAACUCCAGUGUGCAUUCAUAUUGCUUAGGGGUUUUGUUUAAAUGCAGAUUCUGAGUUACUAGGAUUAUGCAAUUUGAAUGAGCUUGCAGAUAAUUUCAUGGCUGCUGGUCUCUGACAUCACCUUUGAGAAGCAAAGAAUUAAAGGUCCUGUCCUGAUCUGUCUCCUUCUCCUGUUAUCUGUGCAAAAGAGAUAUACUGUCUACUUUGCAUAGUGAGAUGGCAGGUACAAAAGUAGGAUGAGGAUAAUGUAGCAUGAGCACAGAGAAGGAAAACCUAGGAGGAUGAGUAAAGAAAUCAUGGGAAAAGAGAUAGAUUCAAGGCUUUCAAUC